UACGGAGGGUGCGAGCGUUUGUCCGGAAUCAUUGGGCGUAAAGGGCGCGUAGGUGGCGGGACAAGCGUGCGGUGAAAGCCUGGGGCUCAACCCGGGUCGGCCGUGCGAACUGUUUUGCUUGAGCACUGUAGAGGCAGGCGGAAUUCCGGGUGUAGCGGUGGAAUGGCGCAGAUAUCAGGAGGAACACCGGUGGCGAAGGCGGGUCUCUGGGCAGUAACUGACGCUGAGGAGCGAAAGCCAGGGGAGCAAACGGG
rnacentral:rRNA from 1 species